AAAAAAUGAGAAUGAGUUGAGUUUGAGGGGGCUGAUUUCUGCCAUUUUAAAGAGGAGAAGAGAGUUGGUUUUGCUACCAUUUUAAGGGAGAGAAAGAGCCGAUUUUGAGGAGAAAGGAGCAACUUUGGUUGUCGAUUUUGAGGAAAAAAUGAGCAGCUUUGGUUGUCGAUUUUGAGGGAGAAAAGAGGAGCUUUGUGUUACCGAUUUUGAGGGAGAAAAGAGCAGCUUUCGCUAUCAAUUUUGAAGGAGAAAAGAGCAGCUUUGUGUUGCCAAUUUUGAGAGAGAAAAGAAAGAAACUUGUUGUUGGUUUGAGAGAAAGAAAGGAAGGAAAUGGCUAUUGAUUUUGAGAGGAAGACAUGAAAGAAUUGCUGCCGGCAUAAAAGAGAAGAAAAGAUAAAGAAAGAAAGGUCGAAGAAAAUAACGAGCGACCAGUAAGAAAGAAUAGCAAGAUACACGCACGAACCAAUAGCAAAGUAACGUCUCACUAUUGUGAGGUGAGUGGGUGCUAAAUUUCAAAAACUAUAUCCCAAUAAAUAUAUUAUAUAUGUUACAUUUGAUAGUUGACGAAAUUGUGAAAAGCAUGAGUUGGUAGAAAGUCUUAGGUUGUUUUUGAUUGCAAUCAAGGAUUUUAAAUUCGUUUUUUUUUCUAUAUUAUAUAUAAGUAUAUAUCUACAUGCUUUUAAUUACUAGGAAACAAACCUUUGACUGGCUUUUCACUUCAAAAUCAUACCUUGCAAGCUUGUGUGAUGUUUGGGCCAAUGGUCAUUAAUUGAUUCAUGGGAUUUGAUUAAAAAUUUAUUAAUUUCACUUAGCAUGAUGAUUUGAUGGAUAUGCCAUGCUUUGAAAUAAAUUAUGCAUAACAUUCAAUUUAUGAUUAUAUUGCUUUUGAUCUGUCAUGUUUUGCAAAUGCAUUAAAUUGCAAUGAUUUUCAUUUUAACGUGAUUGAGAUACUUUGGGGUAAGACCUGUUACCACACCAGGUAAAGUGUGGUAUCUGUGCACAAAGUAGUAAUUGUUGAGUAUCAAUAUUUGAUUGUAAAAGGGGAACCUAAAGCCUCGAUUCAUAUUAGGUGGCGUGGGCAGUUCCCACGAGUAGGUAAAAGGGGACCGGAAGCCCCGAUUCAUAUUGUGUGGCGUGAACAGUUCCCACGAGUAGGUAAAGGGAGACCUGAAGCCCCGAUUUAUAUAUGGUGGUGUGGGCAGUUCCCACGAGUAGGUGAUGAUGUCUGAGAGAAUAAGCCUAAGGGCUAUACUAAACCUACCCGAGGAUGAUGCUCACUUGUGGAUUUUUAUUACACAAUGCAUAGCAUUAACACUUGAAAUUUACCAUUGAAUGGCAAGUGAAAUUUACAUAUUUAUUGAUGAUCAGUUAUUUCGCUUUUUUUUUUUAUGUUUAAGACUCUUCAUUCUACACUGGCCAUUGGAUUUACUGUUGACUGAAUAUCAAAAUUGAAAGAUUUUUUUUUAGUACCUUAAAUAUAACCGUUUUCAUAUAUGUUUACUUGUGAUUUAUUAUUCUUAAUACUUGCAAGGUACAAAAACAAAAUCUCUUAGUUUAACGGAAUAUGUUUUCUACACCUACUUUUGAUUUUAUAAAUAUCUCAUCUUUAUGUUUGUUUUCCCUCAUCGCCUGCUUAUGGAGCCGAUGAUCACUGAAUCUGUGAGACUCACACCCCUUUUAUUUCUCCUUUUGCAAACAGAGAAUUGGCCUAGCUUGAAAUCAUCAGUGCGUACAAUCCACCGCAAAUAGGUAAAGGCAUCUCAUAGCAUUUUAUCCGAGUCACUCCACUGUUAGAGGUCAAGUCGUAGCUCUUUGUUCAUUAAGUUGUAAACAGAUAUUGAUAUUGAUAUAAGUAAAUAAUUGGAG
rnacentral:lncRNA from 1 species